rnacentral:rRNA from 1 species
UGUGCCAGCAGCCGCGGUAAAACGUAGGACGCAAGCGUUAUCCGGAAUUACUGGGCGUAAAGCGCGCGCAGGCGGGUCAACAAGUCAUGCGUGAAAGCUCCUGGCUAAACUGGGAGAGGUCGGAUGAAACUGUUGGUCUUGAGUGUGGCAGAGGCGUGUGGAAUUCCGCGUGUAGUGGUGAAAUGCGUAGAGAUGCGGAGGAACACCAGAGGCGAAGGCGGCACGCUGGGCCACAACUGACGCUGAGGCGCGAAAGCAUGGGUAGCGAACGGGAUUAGAAACCCCGGUAGUCCAUGCCGUAAACGAUGUACACUAGACGUUCGUGCAACUGAGGUUGUAUGAGUGUCGCAGCAAACGCGAUAAGUGUACCGCCUGGGGAGUACGGUCGCAAGGCUAAAACUCAAAGGAAUUGACGGGGGCCCGCACAAGCAGCGGAGCGUGUGGUUUAAUUCGAGGUUACGCGAAGAACCUUACCUGGGCUUGACA